rnacentral:rRNA from 1 species
UUANACNUGCAGUCGUGGGGCAGCAGGGGUAGCAAUACCCGCUGGCGACCGGCAAACGGGUGCGGAACACGUACGCAACCUUCCUUUAACUGGAGAAUAGCCCCUCGAAAGAGGGAUUAAUACUCCGUAACAUAUUGAUAAGGCAUCUUAUUAAUAUUAUAGCUCCGGCGGUUAAAGAUGGGCGUGCGCCUGAUUAGAUAGUUGGCGGGGUAACGGCCCACCAAGUCUGCGAUCAGUAACUGGUGUGAGAGCACGACCAGUCACACGGGCACUGAGACACGGGCCCGACUCCUACGGGAGGCAGCAGUAAGGAAUAUUGGUCAAUGGACGCAAGUCUGAACCAGCCAUGCCGCGUGGAGGAUUAAGGCCCUCUGGGUUGUAAACUCCUUUUAUCUGGGAAGAAAUGCAUUUUUUCUAAAGUGCUUGACGGUACCAGAGGAAUAAGCACCGGCUAACUCCGUGCCAGCAGCCGCGGUAAUACGGAGGGUGCAAGCGUUAUCCGGAUUCACUGGGUUUAAAGGGUGCGUAGGCGGGCAGGUAAGUCCGUGGUGAAAUCUCUGAGCUUAACUCAGAAACUGCCAUGGAUACUAUUUGUCUUGAAUGUUGUGGAGGUAAGCGGAAUAUGUCAUGUAGCGGUGAAAUGCUUAGAUAUGACAUAGAACACCAAUUGCGAAGGCAGCUUACUACACAAAUAUUGACGCUGAGGCACGAAAGCGUGGGGAUCAAACAGGAUUAGAUACCCUGGUAGUCCACGCCCUAAACGAUGAUUACUCGACAUCAGCGAUACACUGUUGGUGUCUGAGCGAAAGCAUUAAGUAAUCCACCUGGGAAGUACGAUCGCAAGAUUGAAACUCAAAGGAAUUGACGGGGGUCCGCACAAGCGGNGGAGCAUGUGGUUUAAUUCGAUGAUACGCGAGGAACCUUACCUGGGCUANAGUGCUGGUGGACCGNGGGUGAAAGCUCAUUUUGNAGCAUACA